GUGAACCGGCGGCGGCAACCCUAGUUCCUUAGCUACCUAGUUUCCUUUCUUGCAAGAACUCCCAAAUUCGUGUACCGAGAUCUGUAUAAGCUACUACUUCAGAGAGCUACCUUAGAUCGAUCCAUAUAUCUUACUCCUCACAGAUCCUCGGUCCCCGUUCGAGUGGGGCUGGCGUGGGACCGGAGGCCACCACCGAGCCGGCGCUGGACGUGCAACUGCGGCGGGGUACUGCCAUGGAUCUGUUGCUGCAGUUCCAUGCGUAGGAUGAAGAAACCGGUGUAUCUCAUAUCUAUAUCAACCGGGUGCAUCUUCUUCUCGAUCUGCCAGUGUUGAUGAUCCCAAGGAUGAUUUCGUUGUCAGAUUGCACUACUUUGGAAGAUUUCAGACUUUGGAUGGAUUGCUUCAGUACACUGAUGGAUUGGAGGUUGAGUUCUUUGUGGACAGAGCAAAAUUGGGUUAUGAGCAUUUCU